GGGUUUCCGCCCUUCAGUGCCGCAGCUAACGCAUUAAGCACUCCGCCUGGGGAGUACGACCGCAAGGUUGAAACUCAAAGGAAUUGACGGGGGCCCGCACAAGCGGUGGAGCAUGUGGUUUAAUUCGAAGCUACGCGAAGAACCUUACCAGGUCUUGACAUCUUGCGCCAACCCUAGAGAUAGGGCGUUUCCUUCGGGAACGCAAUGACAGGUGGUGCAUGGUCGUCGUCAGCUCGUGUCGUGAGAUGUUGGGUUAAGUCCCGCAACGAGCGCAACCCUUGUUACUAGUUGCCAGCAUUCAGUUGGGCACUCUAGUGAGACUGCCGGUGACAAACCGGAGGAAGGUGGGGACGACGUCAGAUCAUCAUGCCCCUUAUGACCUGGGCUACACACGUGCUACAAUGGACGGUACAACGAGUCGCGAACUCGCGAGGGCAAGCUAAUCUCUUAAAACCGUUCUCAGUUCGGACUGCAGGCUGCAACUCGCCUGCACGAAGUCGGAAUCGCUAGUAAUCGCGGAUCAGCAUGCCGCGGUGAAUACGUUCCCGGGCCUUGUACACACCGCCCGUCACACCAUGAGAGUUUGCAACACCCAAAGUCGGUGGGGUAACCCU
rnacentral:rRNA from 1 species